UUUUGUUCUUGCAUUGCAGGUACUCCAUAACAAAAGCCUUCUGCAUUGCUUUCGUGAUGACUUUCUUCAGCGUGUUUGAUGUGCCUGUAUUUUGGCCAAUCCUUCUCUUCUAGUGGCUGAUGCUGUUCAUGCUCACAAUGAAGAGACAGAUCAAGCACAUGAUCAAAUACAAAUACGUCCCCUUCUCCUUUGGCAAACAGCGCUACACAGGGAAGAAACCAGCUUCACCCAACAAUGCAAGCCUUCCUAGGGAUUGAACUUUCAUGCAGGAGCAUGCUGGAAGUGGAUUUUGCUUGAAAAUCUGAUCCUGGGUUCGCAUUGGCAUUUUCUAGAUCCAUCUCAUCCGGGUAAGUUGGAAGGUCCAUGGUGAGAUAAAGCACGGGGGAGAGGAGGUUUUUUAUGCAUUGUUCUUUAUCUUUUCAUUUUCUCUCUUCUUUUGUUUUCUUCUUCUUCUUCUUCUUCUUUUGGCUUAAUUUAAGAAUUUGUUAAAUGUCAAGUGCGACAGUGAUAAUUGUUGUAGCAUGCACACACAUUAACAACAGGGAAUGCCUAGCAAGCAAAAAAAGAAAGAAGAUGAACAUAACCCUUGUUGUUGCUGAAUGCCAUGAUAUUAAGAACCAUUGGCAUUCUGUGGAACCAGUGGACUUACUGUAGAGGAUUUCUAAACCUGUAUAGGUGGAAUUUUACUGA